GAGUGUUUUCGAACACUUAUAAGAAAUCUGCAAACUUUUCACGAUUUGAUGGAAGUUCGAUACAGCAUGGUUUAAUUCGUUUUCGCGAUGCUUAAAGCACGGCCACGAUCAUGGAUCGCAUCAACGAGCAUCGAGAAGGCUAUCAAAAUAACGAACCUAUCUCAUUUCAAAGUGCUUUACGCGCGCCUGGCUGGGUUUAAAACGAGCCAAGAUCCGUUGCAUACACGUGCAACCGGCCCUUUCACCUGAAACCCAAACGGUUCAUCCCAGCAUCUGCUCCAUUGAUGUCUCCUACCUUGUGAUUAGUUGGCGGUGAACCGCCAAAAAUUCGAAGAACCACGAAUACCCUUACGUGUGUGUAUGCAUCUUGAAGAAAGCAACCAAGCACCUCAUCCAAGAUCCUCGCUUGGUUUCCUCAAGAUUUUCGCUCGAAUGCGUACAAAUACGAUCGUCGAAUCGAUGAUCGAUCCACAAAGUGGUCGAUCUAUAAAAAUAGAGGAGGGUUGUUCGCUCUGGUUGGCCACUAUUCCGUAACCAAGGACAUCAAAGUGUUUUCUGUAUCGCAGUUCGGAUUUUCCUUCGGUUAACUUUCCUCCCUUUGUUCAUCCGGGAGGGAAAGAAAAAGUUGGGAGUCGUUCCUAUCCUGUACCGUCAUUUCUUCCCAGCGAAGAUUUUUGCGAAAGUUAUCGAUAAUUCAUUUUAAGUGGUACAUUACAAUUGGAAACUCUAUAGGAAAGUUUCGACGGAAGACAAACUUCCAGAGGCGGUCGAACUCUUCAACAAAGUGAAAUACAUAAUGCAUGCCUAGCUGGAACAUAAUUAAGCAAGGCGGAGAGGAGAGACGAAGUUUUAACCGAUUUACUUCGUCCUCCAGCGCGAGCUAGACAAUUCAACCUGAGUUCUUGAAGGGAACUUCACGUCUUGGAAUAUGGCCGCGAUCGUUUUAACGAUCAUCUUUCAUCUGUUGCGAUACUGUUGAUUUCUUUUUACGAUGAGGUGAUACCAUGUAAUUGGAUUAUAAGUCCACUAACUCUUUCCUCCACUAUCGUUCCUUUAUACAUGGUAAAAGAUCGUAUAGUUGGGUUCAUACUCACCUUUUUGAAACUUAUUUAUCAGCGAGCAAUUAUUAUGGACGAAGAAAUUAAUUUGAAGCUCUUGAUAAAAUAAAAUUACCAUUCAUCCAUCAUCGAUCAUGAAAUAAAAGAUUUCUGAGAUUUCUUUCAUCACUUUAACUAAUAAAUCAUCGAUUAAGUUUUGCUGUUAAUUCUCUAAUUUAGAAUAUUCAUAAUAAUUCAUAUAAAUAAUGGAAACGUAACAAAGAGUAAAUUAUUUUAACUAUGUUGGUUCGAAUAAAUAUUCCAUUACGUUUCUUUUUUUUUAUACAUAUAAAAUAUUUAUAGAAUUGUUCUUGCAAGGGGAUUUAAUUGAGUGGAGAAUUAGCACGAUUGUACAAACAAUCGGAUAUAGGGAAACGACGUUACCGGUUCUUGCACGGCUUUGAUCGUUAGCCUGUAAAUUUUCGUACCUCCAUGUUAGCCGAUCGUGGAUUCGGCUAACUCAUGAGAGGUCUGGAUAUCGGGAAAAUGGAUGGUGGAUGUAACGAUCGGUUACCUCUACUAAACGUUUCGCUGUUCACCAGAAUUGCUGAAUGUAAACUGUCUAUUACCGACGUUUGGACCUGAUCGUUGUACGCUUCUGUUGAGUGCGCAUUUAUCAGCAUUGUACGCUCUAUAUAUAUAUAUAGGAUACACGAUACGAUAUAGAUUUUCUACGAUCGUUCCUCUGUCUGGAGGAUUUAUCUUUGCUCGACCAGGUAUUGGCCAAUAUCGGUUACGAUGAAUAUGUAACGAGAAAAGUAAUUUUUGCGUGUAUCGCUCUCUCGGAUCGAUCGAACUUUUUCAUCGUGCACGGCCUCCUUGGACGUUUUAAAAAAGAUAUUCCACUCCAGUUUAUAGGUAUUAACGCGAACUUUGUGCGUUAAAUGGGGUUUGAAUAACAAGAGGAUCGCUUAAAAUGUGUUCCAGUAUAUAUGGACACGAUAUUAUAUCAAGAUAGCUUCUCUGUGGUCUAUUAAAGCUUGGCCAUUGACAAGCCUUGUACUUGUGAUCAAAGCUGCACCUAUCUCUCUGUACAUACAUAGUUUAUUAAUCACUUUGCCGUGUACCAUGCAAGAUUUUAAUUGAACGUUAAAUUCUUAAAAAUUAUCCGUUCGUCUCCGAUGCAACGAAUUUCGAUAUAUCUUUCCCGUCACUCGAAAACCCCCUGUUAUUAACUUUGUACGUAUAUCGUAUCUUUCAAAAGAUACUACAUUUAAAUAAAAUAUAAAUUUAUUAUUAAAUCGAUGGAAUAAUUUAUUCUAAAGUUUUUCUUUAAUCACCGAACAUGGUAAAUGGAUAAUAACGAGUUAAUAAUACGAAAACGUUUUAAAAUCUCUUCGUUUCGAUAUUUUGCCACGAUUUUUCAUACAUUGUAUAUAAACUUCGCGUUCUCAGAAGUCUUCGCAUCGAUAUUUUUUUGCAGAACAUUCGAAUUUUGCAUUCGAAUUCAUUUCAUAUUUUCAUAUUCGUUUGAAAAACUUCUAAAUACUCGAUUCCCCGCUCGUCUUUCAGAACUUUCGAGUGUCACGAGUAAUUAACACGUUUACCCAACGGUGAUAUCCACGGUAAAGGUCCACCAAAAAGGAAAGUGUAAUUCAAUGUCGGACCCAUGGACGUAUAUACACGAGAGGACAGAGAAGUAACCGCACGAUAACGCGGCAUUCCAGCAUGAGAGGAUAGUAAUUAAGACCUCAACUGGUCCCAAGGGACUUUGUGCACCGUCUCUCUAUAUCUUAUCGCAUGGCUCGCCCGACUGGAUGUCCAUGCAUUAUAUCUAUGGGUUUAUUCACCCAAGAGGGCAGUUCCGUAUCGUGAAACGAAUCGUUGUACACGUAGACAGAGUUCGAUCUUGUGUUUUCUAAUUAUCGAUCAGAUUCCUCGAACGGGCGUCCUCGCUUCUUCAUAGAUGUAUCAGGUGUUUCGAGUGGAACGUUUGAAAAACCUGAGUCAAUUAAGACACACUCUGUCUUGGAAAUUUUUACAAGCCCUCGGUAUCGAUUCGGAUACACUCGUAUCGUGGUCUAGAGAAUGGAGGAUGGAGAAUAAAAUUACAUGUUCAGUAUCAAGGAUGACACAAACUUUGAAACCUUUAAAUCCAAAAUUUAAAAUGUUUCGAGAUUUCGAAUCUUGAAACUUUUUUACGAUUCUCUAGAUAAACAACGAUUAUAAAUAAGGAGUUUCGUGAGAGAUUUUAAUUGAUAAGAAUUUAUUUCUAAAGGAAUGUGAAUCGACGAAUGUGUUAUAAAUAUCGACUCGAUAGUUAGCGAAGACUUGGAAUUAGUCGCAAGAUGGCCGAUCGACCGGCGAAAUCAUUAAAUUGUCAGGAAAUUGAACCGGUUUAGACGAGUGCAAAGUAAUCUCGAGACGUGGAUAAAAAUACGGAUGGAAAGCUGGUCGUACGGCAAUUAUAUCGGCACGACUUAACGCAUAACGAUCAUUUUUUCCGACGCCGGGCCGGUAACAUGGGAAAAUAGUUUAAUAUCGGCGAACCGGUUUGACGCCGCUCGUUUUGAGAUGGCGGCGGUGACGUUCGGUCAUGCAACCCGUGUUAUACCUUUGAAAAUAAGAGCAAGAAGAGUAUCGUUGAUGAGCAUGCACCGAGAGAAUUUAAAGAGACGCGCAAAGAACACGAAACCAUUAUCGUGUUGACUAAUUGCGGAAUUUUAUAACAACAGAUGGCCAGUGGACAUCUUGAGAAUGACAGAAUUUCAAACAGGGAUAAAUUUUUAUAUGAGAAAG